rnacentral:lncRNA from 1 species
GACGUUUACAGGAAAAAGGAGAUUUUGAAAGAAAUUGCUAUGAACUGUCGCUGAGAAGAGACUUUCCCUCGUGCGAAUUUAAUGUUUCGGAUUUAAGCCCAUUUAGUUAGACCCAUUAAUCAUUUAGUAAGGCCCAUUGCUUAGGAAUGAUUUAAAAAAAGGCCCACAAACAUUGUCAGAACCCAGUAAGUUGCUUCUUUCCAGAAAGCUUAGCUCUUAAAUUGUUUCUCUUCACAUUGUUCCUGCAUGUAAGUUUUCUCUAAUAUUGAUGUCCGCAGUUUCUUUGUAAGUAUCACCAC